rnacentral:snRNA from 1 species
GCUGCUUCUCGGCCUUCUGGCUAAGAUCAUGCGUAGUAUCUGUUCUUAUCGGUUUAAUAUCUGAUACAUCUUUGAUGAGAGGACUUUAUAUCAUCCUGGCAUGGAAGUACCUCCU